rnacentral:tRNA from 1 species
GCUGGAGUAGCUCAGCUGGUAGAGCAGCUGUUUUGUAAACAGCGGGUCGAGGGUUCGAGUCCCUCCUCCAGCU